CUACGGCUUAGAGUUUGAUCCUGGCUCAGGAUGAACGCUAGCGGCAGGCUUAACACAUGCAAGUCGAGGGGUAGAGUAGCAAUACUUGAGACCGGCGCACGGGUGCGUAACGCGUAUGUAAUCUACCUUGUACAGGGGAAUAGCCCAGAGAAAUUUGAAUUAAUGCCCCAUAGUAUAGUUGAAUGGCAUCAUGUGAUUAUUAAAGUUCAGGCGGUACAAGAUGAGCAUGCGUCCCAUUAGCUAGUUGGUAUGGUAACGGCAUACCAAGGCAAUGAUGGGUAAGGGUCCUGAGAGGGAGAUCCCCCACACUGGUACUGAGACACGGGACCAGACUCCUACGGAAGGCAGCAGUGAGGAAUAUUGGGCAAAUGGACGCUAGUCUGACCCAGCCAUGCCGCGUGCAGGAAGACGGUCCUAUGGAUUUGUAAACUGCUUUUGUACGGGAAGAAACCCUACUACGCGUAGUAGAUUGACGGUACCGUACGAAUAAGGAUCGGCUAACUCCGUGCCAGCAGCCGCGGUAAUACGGAGGAUCCAAGCGUUAUCCGGAAUCAUUGGGUUUAAAGGGUCCGUAGGCGGUUUUAUAAGUCAGUGGUGAAAUCUGGUCGCUCAACGAUCAAACGGCCAUUGAUACUGUAGAACUUGAAUGAUUAGGAAGUAACUAGAAUAUGUAGUGUAGCGGUGAAAUGCUUAGAUAUUACAUGGAAUACCAAUUGCGAAGGCAGGUUACUACUAAUUGAUUGACGCUGAUGGACGAAAGCGUGGGUAGCGAACAGGAUUAGAUACCCUGGUAGUCCACGCCGUAAACGAUGGAUACUAGCUGUUGGGAGCAAUUUCAGUGGCUAAGCGAAAGUGAUAAGUAUCCCACCUGGGGAGUACGAACGCAAGUUCGAAACUCAAAGGAAUUGACGGGGGCCCGCACAAGCGGUGGAGCAUGUGGUUUAAUUCGAUGAUACGCGAGGAACCUUACCAAGGCUUAAAUGUAUUUUGACCGGUUUGGAAACAGACCUUUCGCAAGACAAAUUACAAGGUGCUGCAUGGUUGUCGUCAGCUCGUGCCGUGAGGUGUCAGGUUAAGUCCUAUAACGAGCGUAACCCCUGUUGUUAGUUGCCAGCGAGUAAGGUCGGGAACUCUAGCAAGACUGCCAGUGCAAACUGUGAGGAAGGUGGGGAUGACGUCAAAUCAUCACGGCCCUUACGCCUUGGGCUACACACGUGCUACAAUGGUAAGUACAGAGAGCAGCCACAACGCAAGUUGGAGCGAAUCUAUAAAGCUUAUCUCAGUUCGGAUCGGAGUCUGCAACUCGACUCCGUGAAGCUGGAAUCGCUAGUAAUCGGAUAUCAGCCAUGAUCCGGUGAAUACGUUCCCGGGCCUUGUACACACCGCCCGUCAAGCCAUGGAAGCUGGGGGUACCUGAAGUCGGUGACCGCAAGGAGCUGCCUAGGGUAAAACUGGUAACUGGGGCUAAG
rnacentral:rRNA from 1 species